GUGCUCACUUCAGCAGCACACAUACUACAACUGGGAUGAUAAAAGAAAUUAGCGUGGCCCCUGUGCAAGAUGACAUGCAAAUUUGUAAAGCAUUCUAUGUUUUU